rnacentral:rRNA from 1 species
CUCAGGACGAACGCUGGCGGCGUGCCUAAUACAUGCAAGUCGAGCGGACCGACGGGAGCUUGCUCCCUUAGGUCAGCGGCGGACGGGUGAGUAACACGUGGGUAACCUGCCUGUAAGACUGGGAUAACUCCGGGAAACCGGGGCUAAUACCGGAUGCUUGAUUGAACCGCAUGGUUCAAUUAUAAAAGGUGGCUUUUAGCUACCACUUACAGAUGGACCCGCGGCGCAUUAGCUAGUUGGUGAGGUAACGGCUCACCAAGGCAACGAUGCGUAGCCGACCUGAGAGGGUGAUCGGCCACACUGGGACUGAGACACGGCCCAGACUCCUACGGGAGGCAGCAGUAGGGAAUCUUCCGCAAUGGACGAAAGUCUGACGGAGCAACGCCGCGUGAGUGAUGAAGGUUUUCGGAUCGUAAAACUCUGUUGUUAGGGAAGAACAAGUACCGUUCGAAUAGGGCGGUACCUUGACGGUACCUAACCAGAAAGCCACGGCUAACUACGUGCCAGCAGCCGCGGUAAUACGUAGGUGGCAAGCGUUGUCCGGAAUUAUUGGGCGUAAAGCGCGCGCAGGCGGUUUCUUAAGUCUGAUGUGAAAGCCCCCGGCUCAACCGGGGAGGGUCAUUGGAAACUGGGGAACUUGAGUGCAGAAGAGGAGAGUGGAAUUCCACGUGUAGCGGUGAAAUGCGUAGAGAUGUGGAGGAACACCAGUGGCGAAGGCGACUCUCUGGUCUGUAACUGACGCUGAGGCGCGAAAGCGUGGGGAGCGAACAGGAUUAGAUACCCUGGUAGUCCACGCCGUAAACGAUGAGUGCUAAGUGUUAGAGGGUUUCCGCCCUUUAGUGCUGCAGCAAACGCAUUAAGCACUCCGCCUGGGGAGUACGGUCGCAAGACUGAAACUCAAAGGAAUUGACGGGGGCCCGCACAAGCGGUGGAGCAUGUGGUUUAAUUCGAAGCAACGCGAAGAACCUUACCAGGUCUUGACAUCCUCUGACAACCCUAGAGAUAGGGCUUCCCCUUCGGGGGCAGAGUGACAGGUGGUGCAUGGUUGUCGUCAGCUCGUGUCGUGAGAUGUUGGGUUAAGUCCCGCAACGAGCGCAACCCUUGAUCUUAGUUGCCAGCAUUCAGUUGGGCACUCUAAGGUGACUGCCGGUGACAAACCGGAGGAAGGUGGGGAUGACGUCAAAUCAUCAUGCCCCUUAUGACCUGGGCUACACACGUGCUACAAUGGGCAGAACAAAGGGCAGCGAAGCCGCGAGGCUAAGCCAAUCCCACAAAUCUGUUCUCAGUUCGGAUCGCAGUCUGCAACUCGACUGCGUG